GGACGGUUAGCUCAGCUGGUUAGAGCACUGCAUUCACAUUGCAGGGGUCACUGGUUCGAAUCCAGUACCGUCCA
rnacentral:tRNA from 1 species